UAAUAUAUAUAUAUAUAUAUAUAUAAUGUAACAGCCUUCAAAGUUAUUAUAUAUUUAUAAAAUUAGAACUUGUAAGCUCCGGACUUAAUGUCACCGACGCUUAAUCGAUCAAAGUGCCAUAUAACAGUCUGCUUUUUAUCUCUCUCUCUCUCUCUCUUUUUGUUUAGGCAAUAAGUAAAUCAAGUAAGGAUGUGUUUAAUCGAGACGAUGUUGAAGGUACCAUCGGUUUUAUCGCAAAUUUAAUGCAGAAACGACUGCCGUGCACUGGCGCCCUCUCGGCUGAUAAGACUGCUGGAGCGAGAAGCGUAUCGGGACCGGCCUCUCCGUACGUCUGAGGAGUCAGAGUCUCUCGGCCGCGACUUAUUUCCCCCGCCGAGGACGGCGGUUGCGGCGAAGGCGCAAUGGCCGCGCGAUCGUCACCAGGAUACGUUAACCGUUGCGUGUCGGCGAGACUUGUGUGCGACCUUCGUGUUUGUUUUGACACCGCGAGCCGACGUGUCAUUCACACGGCGAAACUUGGGUCGGCAGGUAGUGCGUCGCGUGUAAUUAUCGUCGGGAGUGUCGUGCAAAGUACGGGCGAUUAUUUUAUUAUAAUGAUUAACACGCGCGGUCGCAAUUAACCGUGUUUUCGCGAGUGUUGUGUACGCGAGUGAGCAACGAAGGAAUCUGAGAGGAGGAGGAGGCCAGGGCGCGGCAUCGGGCGACGGUGGAGCAGCUAUGGAUCCGACGCAAUUUCAGUCGCAAUUCCACCGCUGCUCAUCAUAUCGGUGAGUGACGCAUUAUUUUUUAAAUAUUACUAAGAUAGUGGAUCUGUGUAAA